UACAGAGGUCCCAAGCGUUGUUUGGAUUCACUGGGCGUAAAGGGUGCGUAGGCGGUCGGGUAAGUCUGAUGUGAAAUCUCACAGCUUAACUGUGAAACUGCAUUGGAUACUAUUCGGCUAGAGAGUUGGAGGGGGGACUGGAAUUCUCGGUGUAGCAGUGAAAUGCGUAAAUAUCGAGAGGAACACCAGUGGCGAAGGCGAGUCCCUGGACAACUUCUGACGCUGAGGCACGAAAGCUAGGGGAGCAAACAGG
rnacentral:rRNA from 1 species